AUGCAAACUAAGAGCCGUGAGAUCUCUGCUUCAACACUUCAGAGGAAUCCGUUUUCUCUGAUCGGAAUCUGGAAUCGACGAAUCGGAAUGGGUUUCUUGAUAACGACACUAAUCUUCGUGGUGGUUGGAUUCAUCGCGUGCCUCUGCACCAGAAUUUGCUGCAAUAGAGGACCUUCUGCUAAUCUAUUUCACUUGACUCUGGUUACUACUGCAACAGUAUGCUGCUGGAUGAUGUGGGCGAUUGUAUACCUGGCACAAAUGAAACCGCUCAUAGUACCUAUACUAAGUGAAGGCGAAUAA